rnacentral:rRNA from 1 species
UCCGUAGGCGGUGCGGCAAGUCGGAAGUGAAAUCUCUGGGCUUAACUCAGAGGCUGCUUCCGAAACUGCCGUGCUCGAGUGCGAGAGAGGCAAGUGGAAUUGCGGGUGUAGCGGUGAAAUGCGUAGAUAUCCGCAGGAACAUCCGAGGCGAAAGCGGCUUGCUGGAUCGCAACUGACGCUGAGGGACGAAAGCUAGGGGAGCAAACAGGAUUAGAUACCCUGGUAGUCCUAGCCCUAAACCAUCAGGACUUGGGGUUUGCCCUGUACGGGGCAAGUCCCGGAGCUAACGCGUUAAGUCCUGCGCCUGGGGAGUACGGUCGCAAGGCUGAA